GAUUCCUAGUGAUUAGAGUUUGAUCAUGGCUCAGAACGUACGCUGGCGGCACGCCUAACACAUGCAAGUCGAACGCAGUAGCAAUACUGAGUGGCAAACGGGUGAGUAUAAUGUGGGAAUCUGCCUUUUGGUUUGGAAUAACACGGGGAAACUUGUGCUAAUACCGAAUAAGCCCUUACGGGGAAAGUUUUAAUGCCGAAAGAUGAGCCCGCACUUGAUUAGCUAGUUGGUAAGGUAAAAGCUUACCAAGGCAACGAUCAAUAGCUGUUCUUAGAGGAAGACCAGCCACAUUGGGACUGAGACACGGGCCAGACUCCUACGGGAGGCAGCAGUAGGGAAUAUUGGGCAAUGGCGGAAACGCUGACCCAGCCAUGCCGCGUGCCGGAAGAAGGUCCAUUGGACUGUAAACGGCUUUUCUUUGGGGCUAACGUAUGGUUAGACCAUAUUUGAAAGUACUAAGGGAAUAAGCACCGGCUAACUACGUGCCAGCAGCCGCGGUAAUACGUAGGGUGCAAGCGUUGUCCGGAUUUACUGGGUUUAAAGGGUGCGUAGGCGGCGCGCUAAGUCUGAGAUGAAAUGGCAGGGCUCAACCCUGUCGCUGUCUUGGAUACUGGCGUGCUGGAGAAGGGAUGAGGUUGCUGGAAUGAGUGGUGUAGCGGUGAAAUGCGUAGAGAUCACUCAGAACACCGAUUGCGAAGGCAGGCAACUGGGCCCUAUCUGACGCUGAGGCACGAAAGCGUGGGGAUCAAACAGGAUUAGAUACCCUGGUAGUCCACGCCCUAAACGAUGGUUACUAGAUCUGACGCUGCGAGGUGUUGGGUCCAAGCGAAAGCGAUAAGUAACCCACCUGGAGAGUACGCUCGCAAGGGUGAAACUCAAAGGAAUUGACGGGGGCCCGCACAAGCGGUGGAGCAUGUGGUUUAAUUCGAUGCAACGCGAAGAACCUUACCAAGGCUUGACAUACUACAAAUUUUUCUGAGAAGAAAAAGUGCCUUCGGGAAUGUAGAUACAGGUGGUGCAUGGCUGUCGUCAGCUCGUGUCGUGAGAUGUUGGGUUAAGUCCCGCAACGAGCGCAACCCUUGUUUUUAGUUGCCAAUUUAUUGGGUUUUCUAGAAAGACUGCCGGUGACAAACCGGAGGAAGGUGAGGAUGACGUCAAGUCAGCAUGCCCCUUAUGCCUUGGGCUACACACGUGCUACAAUGGCUAGGACAAAGAGUUGCGAGCUCGCGAGAGUCAGCUAAUCUCAUAAACUUAGCCUAAGUUCGGAUUGUAGGCUG
rnacentral:rRNA from 1 species